GACGAAGGAUGCAAGCGUUAUCCGGAUUCAUUGGGUUUAAAGGGAGCGUAGGCGGAUUUGUAAGUCAGUGGUGAAAUCUCCGGGCUCAACCCGGAAACUGCCAUUGAUACUGCAGGUCUAGAGUACAGUUGCCGUUGGCGGAAUAUGACAUGUAGUGGUGAAAUUCGUAGAUAUUCGGAAGAACACCAGUGGCGAAGGCGACUUACUGGACACAUAUUGACGCUGAGGUGCGAAAGCGUGGGGAGCAAACAGG
rnacentral:rRNA from 1 species